GUGUUUACUUUGGCAGCACAUGUGGUAAAACUGAAAUGAUACAGAGAAGAUUAAGUUGGUCCCUGCGCAAAGAUGUCUCACAAAUUCGUGAAGCAUUCUAUAUAUUC